CACAACCAGAUUGCAAUCAACACUGUUGCACAAUGAACUUCUCUGCACACAUGUGAGUCUCUGAGGGUACUGGAAGAUCAUAAGGUUAUGUUGCUAUUCAACUCUGGAAAACAGUUUAAAACACCUAGAAAAGUGGAGGUUCUUGAAAUUCCCACAGUCCUGGAAGAACCAGAAUCCUAGGAGCAUGGAAGACUUAAUUCAUUCAACAGUAACCACCUCUUUUUAGCCUAAGACUUUGGCAGCCGAACAACAGAACAGGAAUUAUGUCAGCUUUUCUGCUUAGCAUGAGCUCUGCCCCAGAACCAAUGACAUAAAAUACGUAUGUUUGCUUUCCCUGCCACAAAGUUGCGACACAUUAUCAAAGCUUUACAAAGUCACUCUAUCUUAGGACACCCCUAGACAACUUGUUUCCAUCUUACUUCUGGGACAAAAAUAUUUACUGUAUCCUGCUUUCAUUGUCUUUGUGAAUAUUACAUUAAAUGUUGACAUGUGCUUGGCAAUUCAA
rnacentral:lncRNA from 1 species